UACGUAGGGGGCUAGCGUUGUCCGGAUUUAUUGGGCGUAAAGGGUGUGUAGGCGGUUUUCUAAGUUUGGUGUGAAAUCUCCCGGCUCAACCGGGAGGGUGCGCCGAAAACUGGGAGACUAGAGUGCGGGAUGGGAGAGUAGAAUUCCUGGUGUAGCGGUGAAAUGCGUAGAUAUCAGGAGGAAUACCGGUGGGGUAGACGGCUCUCUGGACCGCCACUGACGCUGAGACACGAAAGCGUGGGUAGCAAACAGG
rnacentral:rRNA from 1 species